rnacentral:rRNA from 1 species
UACGAAGGGGCUAGCGUUGCUCGGAAUUACUGGGCGUAAAGGGAGCGUAGGCGGGUCGUCAAGUUGGGGUGAAAUCCCCGGGCUUAACCUGGGAACUGCGUUUGAAACUACAAGGCUAGAGUGUGACAGAGGGGGUGGAAUUCCACGUGUAGCAGUGAAAUGCGUAGAGAUGUGGAGGAACACCGAUGGCGAAGGCAGCCCCUGGGUUAACACUGACGCUCAGGCACGAAAGCGUGGGAGCAAACAGG